rnacentral:lncRNA from 1 species
CGCUAAUUAAAGGGCCGGAUAUCUUACAAUUAAAAAUUAAAUGAAAAUUACGUCAAACGUCGUGAAAGGGCCGUAAAGCGCGACUGCCGUAAAACCGAGUGGAUUUUCGGGCGUCCCGAGGCGAUUUUUGGGGUUGCCAGGUCAAUUUUAGGGGUCCCGAGUGAAUUUUGGGCGUCCUGUGCGGAUUUUGGCAGGCGCUGAAUGAAUUUUGGGAGUCCCAGGUGGGUUUUGGGGGGUCCCAAAUGAAUUUUUGGGGGAUUCUGAGAGGAUUUUGGGUGGUUCUGAGUGGAUUUUGGGGGGUCCCGGCUGAAUUUGGGGGCUCCGAAGUGAAUUUUGGGGGGUUCCAGGUGGAUUUUUGGGGUCCCGAGAGGAUUUUUGGGGGUCCUGAAUGAAGUUUUGAGGUAAAAAAUCGCCCCUCCCCUUUUCCCACCAUAGCCCCGCCCACUCCCCAGCAAACCCCGCCCAUUUCACGAGACCACGCCCCCUUUUCAUUCCAGGCUCUUUAUUGGUUCAAAUCCGACGUCAAUCAAGCGGGGGGGGGAGGGGUUAAAGGGGAAAUUUAGGGAAAUUGGGGCAAAUUUGGGGCGGAUGGGGGGAAAUUUUGGUCAAUUUGGGAUAAACUUGGAGCUGUUUUCGGUGAAUUUUAAAUAUUUUGGAUGAAUUUGGGGCAGUUUGGGGUGAAUUUUGGCCAAUUUGGGGUAAAUUCAGGGCAGUUUUCGUCAAUUUGCGGCAGUUUCAGGUAAAUUUGGGCCGUUUUGCUUCAAUUGGGGCAGUUUUGGGUGAAUUCGGAGCCAUUUUUGUGUCAAUUUUGACCAUUUUGGGUGAUUUCGGGGUGGAACUGGGACCAUUUGGGGUGAAUUUGGGGCAGUUUUGGGUAAAUCUGGGGCACUUUCAGUUACAAAAACGGGACAGUUUUGGGUACAAAUUCGGGGCUGUUUGGGUCAUUCCGGGGCCGUUUUGUGGGAUUUUUUUGGGGGAUUUUUUGGGGAUUUUUUGGGGGAUUUUUUUGGGUUUUUUUUUCACGGCGGGGGCAGGGCCAGCAGGGGGGGCAGCAGCUCGGGGGUCCCAGCCCCCCGCCCUCGGCGGUGUUUGCAUUUCUCAGGCCGCUGCACGGAAGUAUUUGCUCUUGAUGUCCCAAAAACCGAUCCCGUAGUCAA